AUUAACAAACCAUCCAUAGCUCCUCCUUCAACUCUCUUGUCUUCCUUUUCCAUAAUUCAAAUAAUCCAAGAUAACCAAAAACCUUCUAUCUCAAGUCUUUCAUGUCGGAUUCACCAAAUAUGUCGUAAUAUAUGAAGUCUUGCUUGAGAAUGCUCUGGGCCUCUGGCUGUGGAAGAUAGAAUGGAAAUUGCAAUGACAAAAUCUUAACUCUAAUAGAACACUAACAAUGAUAAAAAAGCUUUAAUCAAAUUCAAAGAAACCUUAAAGGAAUUACAAAGAUACAAUAAGAAAUCUUAAAAAAAAUUAGAAUAAUCACAAAUAUAUCUCAAAUAAAUCUCAAUCUAAUCUUAAUUUAAUCCUAUUAAAAUCCUACUGGACUUCAUUCAAAAUUUAGGCCAAAAACUAAUUAAAUCUCAAAUCUUAAAUAAAUCCUAAUAAAACCCUAAAUCCUAAAUCAAAUCCUAACCAAAUUCUAAACUCUAAAUCAACUCUUAAUCAAAUUCUAAUCCUAAAUCAAAUUCUAUUCCUAAAUCAAAUCCUAACCAAAUCCUAAACCCUAAAAAAAAUCCUAAUUAAAUUCUAAAUCCUAAAUCAAAUUCUAAUCAAAUUCUAAAUCUUAAAUCAAAUUCUAAUUAAAUCCUAAAUCCUAAAUCAAAUCCUAACUAAAUCUUACAUCCUAAACCAAAUCCUAACCAAAUCCUAAAUCCUAAACUAAAUCCUAAAUCCUAAAUUAAAUCCUAAUCCUAAAUCAAGCCCUAACCAAACCUCAAAUUCUAAACCUUAAACCAAAUCCUA
rnacentral:lncRNA from 1 species